rnacentral:lncRNA from 1 species
UGCUAUUGGAGAGAAAAAUGUUGAAUCCUCUCCUCACUCUUACUACCUAGACAAAUUCCAAAUGAAUCAAAGAUUUAAAAGUUGAAAAAAAAACCUUUAAAAUACUGGAAAAAUACAUUAAAUUUAUUCUUAAAUGCAAAGGUGGCCUUUCUAAGCAAGGCAAAAUCUCAGAAGCUGUAAAGACUAAGUUUAACUACAUAAAUAAAACUUAGGAAAAUAUUAUUAAACAUGACAAUGGACCAAUUUUCUUAGCUUACAAAAAGCUCAUACAAAUCAAUAAAACACAUACCACCUAAUAGAAAACAGAACAUGACUACACAUUUCACAGGAAAUAUCAGUAAUCAAUAAACAUGAAAAUGUGUUCCAUCUCCUUCAUUAAAAUGUACCAGACCUUCAUUAAAAUGCAUUAGAACUUCAUUAAAACGCAAGAUACCAUUUAUUCACUUUCACAUGAUCAGACUUCAAAAGUUUAGUACCCAGUAUUGGCAUGGGUUUGGUAAAUAAUCAUUCUCAUACAUUAUAUGUGGAAGCAACCUAAAGAGCCUAUCAGUGUUUGAACAUUUGUAACACAUUCAAACAUUAGAAUACCACACAGCCGCUAAAAAUAAUGAGGUAUUUUUAUAUAUACUGAUACAGAAAGAUCUCAUAAAACACAGGUAGCAAAAAAAGCAAGGUACAGAAGAGUAUAUAUAGUCUGAUUCUAUUAAUGUGAAAUUUUUAAAGUACAAAUUUGCUGAUAAAAAAUAAAAAAUUGUUUUCCUGUGAGUACAAGACACUUGAAACUGGUUACUUUUGGAGAGGAGUAUUAGGGUAGGAGGGAAGGGACCAAGUUUUUAUACCUUUCUGUACCAUCUGAUCUUUUCGCCAUGUGCAUACAUCAUCUUUCUUGCCCCCACUCCCCUUUCUAAGAACACUUAAUUAACAGGUUAUUUUGAGAUAUUCCUAGGUAGGUUUGAAUACCGGUGGUGUUAUUUUUCAAAAUACUGUAGAUAAGUGCCAAGUUUUGCAAUUUAGAACUUCCCCUUGGAUUUUCAUUAAACUUUAUAUUUGCUUCCUUGAUGCUUUAAUCAUAACGAUUUCCUAUUAAGUAUAAAGUGACACUUUCAAUGGGAGUUUGGCUUUAUAACAAAUUUGUGAUGGAAUCAUUAGACACUGCUGCUCAAGAACCCAUUUUUACACCCCAAAGGGCAUUUGAUGAUUUAUAAACAUCAUCAAGAUUAUACAUUCUAUUUUGACUAUUAAAAACAUAAAACUGCAGUAAGAUUUUACAUGUACAAUUAAAUUAUCCAUUGAAUUCAGUAAAACAGCAUCACAGUAGAAAAAUACAGUCAUAAAAUUAGCUCUUACAUUUUUCUGGGGACAGAAAAGCAGAAGAAAUGAGAUUAAAAGUCCAAAAAAAAAAAGCCCAAAAAACACUACCAAAAACAGGGUGAGACAAUCAUUUAUUUAUUGGACAGGGCAAGG